rnacentral:lncRNA from 13 species
CCCUGGUCUAACUAGUCUACAAGCCCAACAAUUGAUGGAUGCUGGGAAAUCAUCAAAAUGUCUCCAGCAGAAAAAUUCCCCAGGAGCAGUGGCUUUAAAAUGGUAUAUUUAAAGCGACUGGGGAACAGGGCGCGCUCUCAGAGAUGAGCGGGGUGCAGCUGAUAUCAGAGGAAGCAAGCAACACGGUCUUUGCAACGGACCUGCAAGAAUAGGCUACGUUAUGUAACCCGUCACCCAUGGGGCGCAGAUACGUGAGUGGACAGAAUAAGUUAGUGUGGCAUUGUUAAACACGAAUGAAAUUCUAUGGGACAAUAGGAGAGAGGCUAGAGAGACUUAGCCCCGUCCGGAGUGCCUGAAGUGAGACACGUUCAGACUGUGUCCUUGAAGCAGCAUGAAUAGAGAGAUCCUUUUUUUCGCGCAUCUUCUCACGGACUACAGGGAUUUAUCGGUCCGAUCAGAUUACUGGUAAUGAUGUGCAUAUUGUUACAUAUUGUUUAUUAUAAUAGUUAUUACAUUUUUUGGUUCGGGCGGGUUAAAAUCGUCGGAUAUAAUAUGAUGCUGUCUCCAAAACGAUCAUGAGGCUAUCAUUGUUAUCCCAUUAGUUUAUUAUUUAUAACGGUAGCCUAAAACUGUUGUGGAGGGCGUACGCAUAAUGAAUGACUGCUAACAAUAUAACUAUUGUGUUUGCCUCUUCUCUUUCUAGUCAUAGUUAUGGCUUAAAGACACCAUGGAGGCUAGCCUAUGUGAAUGUGACAGUGAUCCGAAGGUAAUGAAUGCAUGGAGCAGUCUAAAGUGCUGGCCGAGAGACUUCACAGAACCAUCCAACCCCUUUGGAACCUCUCUAUCUCCUGACAAAAUAUCUGGUUGAUCCUCUGCGACAGUUGUUCCUUUCACCUCCACCCAAUCAAACAAGUUCUGGCCACAUUCAGAGUUCUGAAUCAUUAAUUUCCUCAUUACCUAUUUUUUAACAUUUCGUCUGGUCUCGACUCGUUUUGUCUCAAUAGGUGGACAUUGAAUUUCCCCCUUGGCUCUUGCCUGCCUUUCUCCUUGAAACUUCUUGUUCUUAUGUCAGCUCACUGUCCUCAGUGAGCUCAUAUCCUUGCAGCCUCACAAAAGUAGGUUGGACCCAUUUCCACA